CCUACGGGGGGCAGCAGUGAGGAAUAUUGCUCAAUGGGCGAGAGUCUGACGCAGCGACGCCGCGUGAGGGAUGACGGUCUUCGGAUCGUAAACCUCUGUCAGCAGGGAAGAACGGUCACUGUGCUAAUCAGCCGUGAAUUGACGGUACCUUCAAAGGACGCACCGGCUAACUCCGUGCCAGCAGCCGCGGUGAUACGGAGGGUGCGAGCGUUAAUCGGCAUUACUGGGAGUACAGCGCGCGUAGGCGGUAUGUCAAGUCAAGUGUGAAAUCCCCGCGCUCAACGUGGGAACUGCAUUUGAGACUGGCAGACUGGAGUGUGGUAGAGGAUAGUGGAAUUCGAGGUGUAGGAGUGAAAUGCGUAGAUAUCUGGAGGAACAUCAGUGGCGAAGGCGGCUAUCUGGCACAUAACUGACGCUGAGGAGCGAAAGCGUGGGUAGCAAACAGGAUUAGAUACCCCGGUAGUC
rnacentral:rRNA from 1 species